AACGAACGCUGGCGGCAUGCCUAACACAUGCAAGUCGAACGAUACCUGCGGGUCUAGUGGCGCACGGUUGCGUAACGCGUGGGAACCUGCCCUUAGGUUCGGAAUAACUCCCCGAAGGGUGUGCUAAUACCGGAUAAUGUCUUCGGACCAAAGAUUUAUCGCCUGUGGAUGUGCCCGCGUUGGAUUAACUAGUUGGUAUGGUAAAAGCCUACGAAGGCGACUAUCCAUAGCUGGUCUGAGAGGAUGAUCAGCCACACUCGGAAUGAGACACGACCCAGACUCCGACGGGAGGCAGAAGUGGGGACUAUCGGACAAUGGGCGAAAACGUGAUUCAGCAAUGCCGAGAGAGUGAUGAAGGCAUUAGGGUUGUAAAGAUAUUUUACACGGCAUGCUAAGGACAGAACCGGGCGAAUAAGCACCGCCUAACUCCGU
rnacentral:rRNA from 1 species